GACGAACGCUGGCGGCGUGCUUAACACAUGCAAGUCGAGCGGAGCGGCGAACGGGCGAGUAACGCGUGAGUAAUUGCCCCCCUCUCUGGGAUAACAGUUGGAAACGGCUGCCAAUACCUGAUAGGGGGGGAUGACUCGCGUCCUAUCGGCUUGUUGGUUGGGUAGUGGCCUACCACGGCGACGACGGGUAGCCGGCCUGAGAGGGGGACCAGCCUCAUUGGGCUAAGAGAGGGACCAAACUGCAACAUGGGACAGCAGUGGCGAGUAUGACACAGUGGGGGAGAGCGUGAUGCGGCAGCGCCGCGUUCGUGAUGACCGCUUACGGGUGGGAAACCGCUUUAAGCCAUGACGCGGUAGUGGCAGAAGAAGCACCGGCUAACUCCGUGCCAGCAGCCGCGGUAAUAC
rnacentral:rRNA from 1 species